UACGGAGGGUGCAAGCGUUACUAGGAAUCACUGGGCGUAAAGGGCGCGUAGGCGGCCUAGCAAGUCUGGUGUGAAAGCCCAGGGCUCAACCCUGGAAGGGCACUGGAAACUGUUAGGCUUGAGUUCCGGAGCGGAGGGGGGAAUUCCCGGUGUAGCGGUGAAAUGCGUAGAUAUCGGUAGGAAUACCGGUGGCGAAGGCGCCCCUCUGGACGGAAACUGACGCUGAGGCGCGAAAGCGUGGGGAGCAAACAGG
rnacentral:rRNA from 1 species